UCGAAAAACGUGUAUUUGAUUUUAAUGUUUUAUAAAAGUGUCUUAUCUAAAUGUUUGCAAAUUUCACAAUUAGUGCAAUAUUCACUUAAUCAAAACCGAAGCACUGUUUUAAAAUAUUACUUUUCGAAGUUUUGUGGUGAAAAAGUCAUGACAAGUGUUUCUAACCUAAAACCACCAACUCGAGUGACUGGUUUAACAACUUUGGACAAGAAUCUUUUCAAAAAAGACAUAACAGUUCCGUGUCUCGUCAUUAAAAACGUGAAAAUAUCAUCGGUGAUGCCAUUUGUUAAAAAUUUCUUGUUAAAAGUGGAAAAUUUCAAGCCGGUGCGUAACAUAAGCGAGGGGGAAGUCCACGUUUAUUUAAAUCCGGAAUUAAUUGCAAGCUGGGAUGAUUUACCCUCAGAAACACAAAAAUCACUAAAUGACUUGAAUUUAAACCAAAGCAGCUUAGAACUGAAGUCGUUCACUUUAAAUUACGAGAAUUUUUCCAUUGAGAGCAUUUUCCGCUCUGUGCUUCCCCCAGAAAUGGAAGGAAUGUCAAGUUUUACAAAAGUGGGUCACAUAGUUCAUGUUAAUCUCCGCGAGCAUCUCGUUCCUUACAAAGACAUAAUAGGGCAAGUGUUGUUUGAUAAAGUUCCAAAUUGUCGGACUGUGGUGAACAAGGUGGCUAAUAUUGACAACACGUAUCGAAAUUUUCAGAUGGAAAUUUUGAGAGGCGAAAACAACACUCAGACACAACUUAAAGAAAAUAAAUGUGUGUUUGAAUUUGACUUUUCUAAAGUCUAUUGGAAUUCUCGAUUGUGCACAGAACAUGAGAGAAUUGUCAAUAUGAUACAAGGUGGAGAUGUUGUUUUUGACGUUUUCGCCGGCGUUGGCCCUUUCUCGGUGCCCUUGGCCAAGAAAAAGUGUCAUGUUUUUGCCAAUGACCUCAACCCGGAGUCGUACAAAUGGCUAAAUCACAAUUUUAGAAUAAAUAAAGUCGAUAAAAAUCAUUUUCAAACCUAUAACAAAGACGGGAGGGACUUUAUCUUGCACAAGAUUAAAGAAUUUUUGCCGAAAUUUUCCGACAAAAAUAUAUUUAUUUUGAUGAAUCUUCCGGCAAUGGCGGUGGAAUUUUUAAAUGCUUUCGUCGACUUAUACACAGAUGAUGAGUUGGGACAUAUUAAGAAACCACCAAUCGUUGUUGUUUACUGCUUUGCUAAAGGCGAAGAUUAUGUGAAUAUUGCCAAAAAAUUAUUAUUUGAAAAUAUUGGUUGGAACAUUGAAGAAAAAAUUCUGGAUGUGUAUCGUGUAAGAACUGUCAGUUCGUUAAAAGAAAUGAUGAGGAUUACAUUUAAAUUAGAUCGCGAUAUCUUGCUAAAAAAUAGUGGGCAAAAACGAAAAAAUUCUUCUGUUGAAGUAGACUCCAAAAAAUAUUGUCAUGGGGAAAAACAAGAAGAAACUCAAUAGUGUUUUCAAAGUCGCUGGGGCGAAAAGCUUGAAGCUUAAAGCCAAAGCGAAAGCUGUAAAAAGUGAACUAAAACAGAUUAAUAAUAAAAAUAAAGCAAAAAUUAUGGAAAUGGACAGCGAGCUCGUGAAUUUGCAGGAAAAAGUCAGGAACACCACUGAACAGAAAAAAGAAAAGAUCCCAAUUAAAAGUAAACUACCUUCACAUCAGAGUAACCUGAACUCUGAAGAAGUUAGAAAAAACUCACAAGAAACUUUAAAUCAACUAAAUGCCAUGCAGUUGUAGUUUAUUUAAUAAAUUGUUUUGUAACAAAA